UACGGAGGAUGCAAGCGUUAUCCGGAUUUAUUGGGUUUAAAGGGUGCGCAGGUUGUUUGAUAAGUCAGUGGUGAAAGUCUGUCGCUUAACGGUAGGAUUGCCAUUGAUACUGUUAGACUUGAAUAUGGAUGAGGUAGGCGGAAUGUGUAGUGUAGCGGUGAAAUGAAUAAAUAUUACACAGAACACCGAUUGCGAAGGCAGCUUACUAAUCCAUCAUUGACGCUGAGACACGAAAGCGUGGGGAUCAAACAGGAUUA
rnacentral:rRNA from 1 species